GCUACCGCUAUUGGAGUUCGAUUAAGCCAUGCGAGUAGAAGAAUUUAGAUUCUUUGCGUACCGCUCAGUAACACGUGGGUAACCUGCCCUAUGCUGGGGAAUAACCUCGGGAAACUGAGAAUAAUGCCCCAUAGCCCACUACGCCUGGAACGGUGAGUGGGUCAAAGCUUCAGCGGCAUAGGAUGGGCCUGCGCCGUAUCAGGUUGUAGGGGGUGUAAAGUACCCUCUAGCCAUCAACGCGUACGGGUGUUGGGAGACAUUGCCCGGAGAUGGAUUCUGAGACACGAAUCCAGACCCUACGGGGUGCAGCAGGCGCGAAAACUUGGCAAUGCGAGCAAUCGUGACCAGGGAACUCCAAGUGCUUAGGGUAAGACCUAAGCUUUUCUUGACUCUUCAAAGGUCUUGGAAUAAGGGGUGGGUAAGGACGGUGCCAGCCGCCGCGGUAAUACCGGCGCCUCAAGUGGUAGUCGCUUUUAUUGGGCCUAAAACGUCCGUAGCCGGUCUGGUGCAUUCGUGGGUAAAUCAACCCGCUCAACGGGUUGAAUUCUGCGAGCACGGCCAGACUUGGGACCGGGAGAGGUGUGGGGUACUCUCAGGGUAGGGGUAAAAUCCUGUCAUCCUGAGAGGACCACCUGUUGCGAAGGCGCCACACUAGAACGGAUCCGACGGUCAGGGACGAAACCUAGGGGCACGAACCGGAUUAGAUACCCGGGUAGUCCUAGGUGUAAACGCUGUGGACUUGAUGUUGGGGGCGCUCCGAGCGCUUUCAGUGUCGAAGCGAAGGUGAUAAGUCCACUGCCUGGGGAGUACGGUCGCAAGGCUGAAACUUAAAGGAAUUGGCGGGGGAGCACUGCAACCUGAGGAUUGUGCGG
rnacentral:rRNA from 1 species